GUGCCAUGUGCAGCAUGAGGGGCUGCCCGAGCCCCUCACACUGAGAUGGGAGCCGCCUCCUCAGCCCACCAUCACCAUCCCCAUCACAUGGAUCAUCGCUGGUCUGGUUCUCCUUACGGUCACUGUGGUGAUUGGAGCUGUGAUCUGGAAGAUGAAGCGCUCAGGAGGAAAAGGACCGAGUUACUCUCAC